rnacentral:rRNA from 1 species
GAAAGCCUGACGGAGCGAUGCCGCGUGAUUGAUGAAGUCCUUCGGGACGUAAAGAUCUUUUAUGCGUGAGAAAGUAAUUGAUAGUAGCGCAUGAAUAAGGGGCUCCUAACUCUGUGCCAGCAGGAGCGGUAAUACAGAGGCCCCGAGCAUUAUCCGGAAUCACUGGGCGUAAAGGGUGUGUAGGCGGUUGUGUUAGUCGUUUGUGAAAGAUCUCGGCUUAACCCGGGAGACGCAUGCGAAACGGCACGACUAGAGGAUAUGAGAGGUAUAGGGAACUCAUGGUGUAGGGGUGAAAUCCGUUGAUAUCAUGGGGAACACCAAAUGCGAAGGCACUAUACUGGCAUAUUCCUGACGCUGAGACACGAAAGCGUG